AGAGUUUGAUCCUGGCUCAGAUUGAACGCUGGCGGCAUGCUUUACACAUGCAAGUCGAACGGCAGCAUAGAGAGCUUGCUCUCUGAUGGCGAGUGGCGAACGGGUGAGUAAUACAUCGGAACGUGUCCGUUUGUGGGGGACAACCACCCGAAAGGGUGGCUAAUACCGCAUAAGACCUGAGGGUGAAAGCCGGGGACCGCAAGGCCUGGCGCGAACGGAGCGGCCGAUGACUGAUUAGCUGGUUGGCGGGGUAAAGGCCCACCAAGGCGACGAUCAGUAGCUGGUCUGAGAGGACGACCAGCCACACUGGAACUGAGACACGGUCCAGACUCCUACGGGAGGCAGCAGUGGGGAAUUUUGGACAAUGGGGGCAACCCUGAUCCAGCCAUGCCGCGUGCGGGAAGAAGGCCUUCGGGUUGUAAACCGCUUUUGUCAGGGACGAAAAGGUGCGGGUUAAGAGCUAGCACUGAUGACGGUACCUGAAGAAUAAGCACCGGCUAACUACGUGCCAGCAGCCGCGGUAAUACGUAGGGUGCGAGCGUUAAUCGGAAUUACUGGGCGUAAAGCGUGCGCAGGCGGUUGGGUAAGACAGAUGUGAAAUCCCCGGGCUUAACCUGGGAACUGCAUUUGUGACUGUCCGACUGGAGUAUGUCAGAGGGGGGUGGAAUUCCAAGUGUAGCAGUGAAAUGCGUAGAUAUUUGGAAGAACACCGAUGGCGAAGGCAGCCCCCUGGGGCAAAACUGACGCUCAUGCACGAAAGCGUGGGGAGCAAACAGGAUUAGAUACCCUGGUAGUCCACGCCCUAAACGAUGUCUACUGGUUGUUGGAGGGUAAAACCUUCAGUAACGAAGCUAACGCGUGAAGUAGACCGCCUGGGGAGUACGGUCGCAAGAUUAAAACUCAAAGGAAUUGACGGGGACCCGCACAAGCGGUGGAUGAUGUGGAUUAAUUCGAUGCAACGCGAAAAACCUUACCUAGCCUUGACAUGUCAGGAACGCUCCGGAGAUGGGGCGGUGCCCGCAAGGGAACCUGAGCACAGGUGCUGCAUGGCUGUCGUCAGCUCGUGUCGUGAGAU
rnacentral:rRNA from 1 species